GGAAUCUUGCGCAAUGAGCGAAAGCUUGACGCAGCGACGCCGCGUGCGGGAUGACGGCCCUCGGGUUGUAAACCGCUUUCAGCAGGGACGAAAUUGACGGUACCUGCAGAAGAAGCCCCGGCCAACUACGGGCCAGCAGCCGCGGUAAUACGUAGGGGGCCAGCGUUGUCCGGAUUUAUUGGGCGUAAAGAGCUCGUAGGCGGUUCGACAAGUCGAAUGUGAAAUCUCCACGCUCAACGUGGAGGGGUCAUUCGAAACUGUCGUGACUUGAGUACGGUAGGGGAGUGUGGAAUUCCCGGUGUAGCGGUGAAAUGCGCAGAGAUCGGGAGGAACACCCGUAGCGAAGGCGGCACUCUGGGCCGAUACUGACGCUGAGGAGCGAAAGCGUGGGGGGCAAAC
rnacentral:rRNA from 1 species